CUGUUGAAAGAGAUUGGUCUAAACUAAGAUCACGCCACACUGACGAUCACAAUGGAGACAAGGAUCACAAGGAAGGGAAUGGGGACUGUAAUGGAGGAGAGUGGAAAGAGAGCGGUAAAAAA
rnacentral:SRP_RNA from 1 species